rnacentral:rRNA from 1 species
AUGCCUACUCCGGGUCCGGUCGAGUUGAAUCUUCUUUGGGAGAUCAAACUACCAUUGAAGAUUAGGAUCUUCUUAUGGCAGUUGGUACGGGGCUGUCUUCCCUCAGGCACGGAGGUGCUAAAGCGGAACGGCCCGUCCGAUGGAAUGUGCCCUCUAUGUGAGAUUCCGGAGGAGUCCAACCAUAUAUUCUUCGUAUGUCUGGCUGCAAGGUUCCUAUGGAGCUAUUUACAGGAGGUUGUAGGUGGCGGAUGGUGUCAUGACAACCUGCCCGAUAUGUUUAGAGAGGUGCUCGGGUCCCACAAUUCCGUUGUGCGACCGGCCCUCUAG